GUGCCGAAAGGCCCUUUGGGGGUGCUCGAGCGGCGAACGGGUGAGUACACGUGAGUAACCUGCCUUCGGCUUUGGGAUAACCCUCGGAAACGGGGGCUAAUACCGGAUAUGACCUGCUGCUGCAUGGUGGUGGGUGUAAAGGGUUUCCGGCUGGGGAUGGGCUCGCGGCCUAUCAGCUUGUUGGUGGGGUGAUGGCCUACCAAGGCGACGACGGGUAGCCGGCCUGAGAGGGCGACCGGUCACACUGGGACUGAGACACGGCCCAGACUCCUACGGGAGGCAGCAGUGGGGAAUAUUGCACAAUGGGCGAAAGCCUGAUGCAGCGACGCCGCGUGAGGGAUGACGGCCUUCGGGUUGUAAACCUCUUUCAGCAGGGACGAAGCGGAAGUGACGGUACCUGCAGAAGAAGCGCCGGCCAACUACGUGUCAGCAGCCGCGGUAAG
rnacentral:rRNA from 1 species